rnacentral:pre_miRNA from 1 species
GAAAACUUGGAAACUAUCGUUGGAUUGAGAAAUGGACGUCCGGGAUUCGUGCACGUCACCAUAAGUUAAAAUUUAACUCUCAGUAAAAUUUUAACUCCUGAGUGAAUCUGCGAGUUAAAUUUUAACUCAUGGUGACGUGGACGAAUCUCGGAUGUCCAUUUCUCGAUAUAACGGUAGUUUUCAAGUUUCC